ACUUAACUACCAUAAAGACGAUUAUUAUGUCCAAAAAUGUUAUUUUUUUUCAAAUUUUUAUUUGUAAUUAUUAUGAAUUUAUUUGUUGGCUUUGCUAUCCCAAAAAUACAAAAAAAAAAAAACCAACUCAAAUGGUAAAAUAAAUAAAUACAAAAAUAAAUACUAGUGACACCCCUCUUUCUCCCUCCUUGCCUCUCUCACACACUCCACCCUUAAAAGAUACUUAAAAAAAAAAUCAUGUUGUAAUGAUGUUUUAAUAAUUGUGUCACCUUCUCUAUGCCCUCUACCCC
rnacentral:lncRNA from 1 species